UUGAGAUUUGGACUGGUUUUUUUGUUUGUUUGUUGUUUUCUUUUCUUUUUCUUCUGUGGGUAGGCCGCAAGAGCGGAAACUGUCAAAUCUGGCAACCCACCAACGGCGCCAUGUUUGUGUGAGGCGCAUGCGCCAUGUUGGAUAGAAAUUUGGCGCAUUUACCACGUCAUUGUUUUAAUUAAGGCGCGGCUUGCACCUGGCCGCCCGAAGACAUGAAACCAGCCUUCUGCUAUUCAUCCAUCCUGGCACUUGGAUUACAAAAUGGUCUUUUCUGAUCUCAAAAGACCAUCCUAACCUAAACGACUCAAAACGUUUGCAGAUCGACUAGAAAUUGUCUCCGUAUUGAUGGAGCCUACCUGCUGAGGGAUAAGCUAGGGUAGGUAGGCCGCAAGAGCGCCAUGUUUGAAAUGUGGUACAUGGACUAAGACGGUUGCUGAUCAGCAGUUUUUGUUGAGAUGGAGACUCUGAAGAUACCAGAUGGUGUUAGACUGGUGGGAAAUAUGGAUGUCAAGAUGGCUGCGAUGGCACUGGACUAUGAACCCAAUCCCAGGAAGUGUGCUUUGCUACUUCCUGUAGCCACUCCUCAAGGCUUGAAGUCGUCGGAUAAGUUCAUGGACGUUGGUAGCAAACGAGUACAAUGAAGUCAUCGGAUGAGUUCAAGGAAUUUGGUAACAAAGGUAGGUGUUUUGGUCUUGGGUACAGCAACCAGAACUUUGAUUCGCUCAACGCAAGAAAAACACGGAAUCCUGGAUCAUCUUGUCUCCGAUUUCGCCCUUUAUCGACCCUCCAUUUAUGGAAGGAAAAGCCCUUCGCCACCCUGCUGAUGGACGACCUUAGUGACCUCUGUGACCUUACCACUGGACUCAGCAAGUUUUCUGGAGGAAAACCAGGAAGUGUUCCCAGGUGAGCAGCUUCAGGACGAAAACUGAUCCUGUCUGCAUAAACCUAAUGAACGGUUGAAGGUCAUAUGUAGGGUUUUGGUUUUUAGGAUUAUUUCCAGUUCUUGUAGAAAAUAACUGCACCUCUGGUUGGCCUGUCACAGUAAUUUACAUAAUUUUUCUUUCAACCAAAAUGAUUGUUUUUGUAAAGUGCUUUAAGACAUUUUUUGUGAAUUAGUGCUGUAUGAAUAAACAGAAUUUAAUUGAAAAUGUGAAAAGCUAAAGGAAUUUGAAAGAAAGUCAACAGUUGAUUUGUAACGUCUGCAGUGAUGAAAUGUAUGGAAAAUAAAGGAAUUUCAAGUAAAUCUA